AUUGAACGUUGGCGGCAGGCCUAACACAUGCAAGUCGAACGAGUGGCGGACGGGUGAGUAAUGUCUGGGAAACUGCCUGAUGGAGGGGGAUAACUACUGGAAACGGUAGCUAAUACCGCAUACCAUCAGAUGUGCCCAGAUGGGAUUAGCUAGUUGGUGGGGUAACGGCUCACCAAGGCGACGAUCCCUAGCUGGUCUGAGAGGAUGACCAGCCAAACGGGAAUGGAGACACGGUCAAGACUACGACGGGAGGCAUCAGUGGGUAAUAGUGCACAAGGGGCGCAAGCCUGAUGCAGCCAGGCCGCGUGUAGGAAGAGUGCCUUCGGGUUGUAAAGUACUUUCAGCGGGGAGGCGUUACCCGAAGAAGAAGCACCGGCUAACUCCGGUCCAGCAGCAGCGGUAAUAC
rnacentral:rRNA from 1 species